GGGGAUUUGGCUCAGUGGUAGAGCGCUUGCCUAGGAAGCGCAAGGUCCUGGGUUCGAUCCCAGCCCUG
rnacentral:tRNA from 1 species